GGGCUGAGGGCAGUGAAAGAAUGUUCAAGGCUUCUCCUUGGAGAAAAUGCCUGUUUAUUGAGGAACAGCUCUUCAUAUUUAUAGAGCCAGGGGUGGUUUGAGAGUUAUGACACUUUAGUGGUUGAAGGGUUUGACAGUUGGCAUGGGGUGCUUUCUGAUUGGUGGGUAAGGAUCAAUUGAGACAUCAGUGCUAGUCUGAUUGGUGGAUAAGGAUCAAUUGAGCCAUCAGUGCUAGUCUGAUUGGUGGGUAAGGAUCAUGUGAGCCAGCAGGGCUAGUCUGAUUGGUGGGUAAGGAUCAUAGGGCUACUCUGAUUGGAGGGUAAGGAUCAUGCUAGCCAGCAGGGCUCACUAUCGGAUGGCUAUUCUGGGGGGGUGGGGAAUGGGAAAGUUAGUCUUUGGAGCCCAGGAGACUCCCAACAGGAAGGGCCUAUGGCAUCCAUUGAGAAAGUACAGAAGCUUAUAGGCACAGUGUGAUUCCACAGCCAGCAAUGUCGUUGUGGCUAUUGUGGUAAGCACUAUGGUGGUUUCCCAGCCUAACUUGAUGGCUUCUUAGUUGUGACAGAGUGAUAUGGCACCCCCACCCAGUAACUCAUGCAGGUUUGGAUACCUUCCUGGGGCAAAGCAAGAAGAUAUUGAAGUUCACAACCUGCCAAAAGCAGGGACCUUGAUAAAUCCCCGGCCCUUUGCGGAGUGAUCAUGAGGGACUAGACCCUCAGAGGAAGGGUGACCUGGAUGAAAACCAGUCUUCAGACCCACUGCAGUCCAGCCUCAAGGCUUCUGCAUGGCCCAAAAUAUCUUAACUCCUGAAAUGGAAAUAAGCAAUUCUGGACUUGUGGCUACCAAGUGUGGUACAAGAAAAUGACAGUAAUACUGGAGGAGGAAAAUAUCCUAAGCAUCAAAUUCUUUCAGUGGAAACUUUUAAAACAGCAUAUCUCACAGAGACCAUGAUAAUCAAGCAUAAGGAUAAUAAAAAUGAGUACCAGCAGAAUGUAGAAUAGAAAAAAGAAAAUAUACAGAAGCUGUAGAUCAGAAUUCUAACAGAAGUCUAG
rnacentral:lncRNA from 1 species